rnacentral:rRNA from 1 species
GAUGAACGCUGGCGGCGUGCCUAAUACAUGCAAGUCGAGCGAACAGAUAAGGAGCUUGCUCCUUUGACGUUAGCGGCGGACGGGUGAGUAACACGUGGGUAACCUACCUAUAAGACUGGGAUAACUUCGGGAAACCGGAGCUAAUACCGGAUAACAUUUGGAACCGCAUGGUUCUAAAGUGAAAGAUGGUUUUGCUAUCACUUAUAGAUGGACCCGCGCCGUAUUAGCUAGUUGGUAAGGUAACGGCUUACCAAGGCAACUAUACGUAGCCGACGGGAGAGGGGGGUCGGCGGCCCGGGAGGUUGGACACGGUCCAGACGCCUACGAGAGGCAGCAGUAGGGAAUGUGACGCAAUGGGCGAAAGCCUGACGGAGCAACGGCGCGUGAGUGAUGACGGGGUUCGGUGCGUAAAACUCGGUUAUUAGGGAAGAACAAACGUGGAAGUAACUGUGCACGUCUUGACGGUACCGAAUCAGAAAGCCACGGCUAACUACGUG